GCUUACACCGGAAAUCACAGAAGAUACCGCGCUUUGUGCUGGAAAAGCUGCCGUGUUCGAAGAUAAAGCGUUGUACAAUGUUCAGAAGAAAGGCGGUCACUUCCUUCACUUUGUGUUAAAACGUUUGAAGACUUCCUUCGCAAACACGCAUGCAUCAAAUCAAGUUUAUUUCGUGGAAGGAAGUGGACUCAACGCCAUGCUACAAGCCAAAGUGAUCGCGCACCUGUCUGCCAUGAUGUGAUUUCGUUUCGGGGAGUGACCUAGAUUUGAAGAUCGACAUAAUAUUACUCGCUGCUAAGAGAUCUGUGAUUGCUGUAAGUUCGCUGUGUUUUAAUAUACUGCAGGGAAGUUGUUUGUAUACUACAACAAUGUUUAUUGAAACAUUAGAGUUCACAAUCCCAGUGGAUCUGUGUGAUCUAUUUUCUACUCUGAAAAGGGGGCCAAGAUCUAAUCUUGAAUUCCCGGCAUCCGUGAACUCAUACGGUACAACGCAAGAUGCGAGUGUACAGGUGGUGUUACGCUCAAACAAAUUGACGUUUAAAGUCGACGGUGUGUCGUCUGAUGCAAGCAUUAUAUCAAAAAGUGAAAGCAAAACAUUAAAAUUGUCAGUGUUUGAUGUAGAUCGGACUUUGAUGCCACAAGAAAAUGACAAUUACAUUUCCAACAAUAUGACAAUUUCCGAAAUACAGCAUUCAACACCUGUGUCCAAUCAGUUCAAAAGGCAUCAUGAAGUAUCAGUGUCACAACCACAUGCUAAAAGCAGAAGGACUUCUUUUUCUGAGUCUCCAAGACCCAAGUCUCCUUUUCAUCGUCGCUUACAUCCUCAUACAAGUCCACGUCAAUCUCCAAGCAUUCAAUCAAAAUCUCAAAAUGACACUCCAGUUAAUGUGAAACAAGAACCAGAAGAUCCAGAUUUAAUAGAAAUAGAACCUGACGACAUUGUGCCAAAGAAAGAGACUCCAUACAUGCAAAUAGAUUAUUCAUCCGAUGUACCUCAUACGCAAACGUCCCAAGCAGCUCUAGAACGACUCUCUCAUCCACAAUCAUCACAUUCUCAAUCACCCGGUUCUUCAUCAUCGUCCUUCCAUCAAAAUGUUCCACAUGUGCCAGAUUACGCCGAACCCAGUACUAGUCAAGCAAGAUAUGGUGACCAAAGUGCAGAUGACUUUUUAGUAUUCCAAGAUGAAAACGACGACGGCGAUGAAAACGAAGCAGAUUACAGUAAUGACGAUGGUCAUGGUUUGUCAAGUUCAUUUGGACCUCAGCUGUUCAAUUUCCAACUGGCUAAUUAUUCCCACAGGGAAAUGUUAGGCCAGCCCAGGCUCCGAGAACCUCCCUCUGCAAGCUUUCCAUGUCCGCACUGUGACAAAGUGUUUUCUGGGACAAGUGCGCGUCGUAAUCACAUUGAAGCCAUUCAUAAGAAAAUUUGCCAUCAGUGUGUCUGUGGGAAGUCCUAUAAGUACAUUCAAAGCUAUCUUCGACACAAGAAACAUUGUCAGAUAUUUGCUCUGACUUGAAAUGUCCUGGAACUGGGAUAUCCUAUCUUGGAAAAGAUUUAGAUCCUGAUCUGGAAUUGUAUUUUGUUUCUCAGGAUUUUUUGUUUUGUUUUUGUAAUGCUGAUCUAUAGUACAGCAGUCUCUUAUGCUGCGUGUAGCCCUUAAAAAUGUUGAAAUGGGGACAAUGUCCAUUUGAAAGACCGUGGAAGUCAAUACAGAAGGGGCAGAUUAUCAUGGUUUGGACAGCAUUUGUGGAUAUGGCCAAUCUAGCCAUUGUCUGGAAGAGGUUCAUGGACUUAAGUUCCAGGAUCAUCAGUUGUCCAACUUGGCUUCCAAAGAUAACUUGUUCCAUGUAACACAUAAUCGUGAUGAAAUGACAACUGGCUUUCCAUGUUCCGUGUGUAGCAAAGUGUUUUCUAGUAACGGGGCCCGGUGGAAUCAUGUGUCGUCUGUCCACAAUAAGGUUCAAUUCUCCUGUGUGUGUGGCAAGGUCUAUCAGUAUUGUCAAGGCCUCAGCAGACAUAAGAAGACAUGUCCCAUGUUGACAGCUACGUCAAGUACUCACCUUGACCUUCCAAAGGAUUGACUCUGACAGCAGUCACCUUGAACUAUGCCAAGAGUCAUAUUGCUAGCAGGGCAGUGGGGUAGCCUAGUGGUUAAAGCAUUCACUCAUUAUGCCGAACGAACGGGUUUGAUUACCCACAUGGGUACAAUGUGUGAAGUCCAUUUCUGGUGUCCCCAGCCGUGAUAUUGCUGGAAUAUUGCUAAAAGCGGUGGAAAACCCAACUCACUCACUCAUUCAUAUUGGUAGCAGUCACCUUGACUUAUAUUGUCAGUAAUCACCUUCACCAAUUUUUCUGGAAGACACUUUCACCUGCUCCAGGAUUGACACUGUCAGUAGUCACUUUGACCUAGCACCAAUUGUAACCAGCAAUCACCUCGAGUGCACAAAGAUAUUUGUUGACAGUAGUCAUCUGAUGUAGCUUUGGUGUUGUUGGCAUCAUCUGGACUAAGAUCUUGGAGAAUUAAAAAGUCAGGAUAAAACUUCCUUUGUGUUGUUCAUAUCAAAAUAUUUUUGUGGGAGUUUUUGUGUUUCGGUUCAUAAAGUUAUUCAGAAGGUUUUGAUCAGACAUUCCAAGAUUGGCAAUGUUUGGGUUCCGAUCUUGUGCAAUAUUUUAUUGAGCUGUCAGGAUGUAGGAAGCCAUUUGUGCUGACUGGUUCUUAUGUUGAAAUUAUGCCAAGUUAGUAUGUAACUUUAGUUAAUGUUAAUAGAAGGGUAGCACCGUGGGUACAGUGUUUGCUGGUCACACUUGAGGUUUGAUUCGUCACAUGUGAGUCUAUUUCUGUUCCCCACUGUGGUAUUGAUGCUAUAUUGUCAAAAUGUGGUGUAAAGCUAUAAUCAGUAAAUUAGGAAUCUUGUCAGGACCCUGUUUCUGUUCCGUCAUAGGAUUCUAUAAGAUUCAUUUUCAUCCUUGAGUUUCAUUGGUUUUUACUUUAGCUUUCUUACGCUUUGACUUUAAUCAUUGUGUGCGUGUGCGUGUGCUUACUAUUGACCACUUGGUGCCAACCAAUAACAACAACCCAGUCAUGACGGUGCUUGUUUCUUUCAGGUUGUCAUGGUUAUAGGAGUUCAUACUUUGGUAUCACACACCAUCCUGGCAUGUCGCAUCAGCAGGAGGUACGGUCUGAGAUCACGGGGUCGCAUCGGUGCCCCGAUUGUGGCAAAAUGUUCAUGACCUCGCGGGCGCGGACUCUCCAUGUCGAAGCUGUUCACCAGCAGCUGGACUUCACCUGUGUCUGUGGGAAGGCCUACAAGUACAGGACUGGCUUGCAGAGACACUUGCGACAGAGCAAACCCUGUGCUCUGACAAUGAACCCCAGCCCGCUAGUUCCUUCCAGUGUUAUGCAUACUGAUUAUCCCACCUCUGUCAUUACAUGGGACCCCACUGAGUAAGGGAUUGAUUUUGCACAUAGGGAAAAAGUUCUAUUUUCUCUGUGGAGGAGUGAGUGAGUGAGUUUGGUUUUACGCUGCUUUUAGCAAUAUUCCAGCAAUAUCACAGCAGGGAACACCAGAAAUGGGCUUCACAAAUUGUACCCAUGUUGGGAAUUGAACCUGGGUCUUCAGCGUUACAAGGGAAGGCUUAUACCACUAGUCUACCCACCGACCUCUCUUUUGAGGAAUUGUUUGUUGUCUCAGUUAAAUGUCUGUCAGGCUGUUUAGUACUGGAGAUACAAGCAUGGACUCUUUGGGAUAUUUAUCUCCAUUUUUAGGAUUAAAAUUGACCCUGUCUGAGCUACCUCAGUUUGGUGUGCAGAGUUGCUUCCCUUGGGCAAGCUAGGAACCUAUGAUCAGUUUGAAUCCCUGUUCACCACAAAUUAUGAUUUUGGGGUUGCAAGCACCAUAUCCAUGCUUGUGGGAUUCAACAUGUAGUAAACAUCCGAGAAAUGUUUCAUUGAAAUGGUUUGAAUUCCUUUAAAAAUGAAUUCCUUUCUGACCCUGACUUACUUUUGUCUGUCAGAAAAAUCUUAACAUGUGGAAAUAAAACUCGCAGACCUUACUUGUCAGUUAAAAUUCUGCCACAACAUGGAUAUUUCAAGGUUUUCAAGGAUACACUGAGGAACAGUGAAUGUUGUGUUGUGAACAUUGUGUGUUGUUAGGAAAAUAUUGUCAUUGCUGAAAGGUGACUCUUAGCAAUUUUAUGCAGGAAUGCAUUUUGAGAAGCUGCAAGUGAACUUUUGUUUAGGAUAGGAAGACAUUUGUUGAACCUGAACACAUACCUAUGCCGCAUCCACGUUACAUAUUAUUUCCUAAAAGUAGUUUAGAAGUUAAAAUAAAAACAUGUUGAUACACUUAUUAUUUAAGUUACUGAAAUAACUAUUUUCAGUGGAAGAGCCCUUUUAUUUGUCUCAAUGUUAUUUUCUUUCUUCCUUUUAAGAUGCUAUUAUUCACAUUUAAGGAAAUGGAAAACUGAUAAAAGACCGUCUUUAUCUCUGUUCAUAUUUCCUUGAUUAUAAAGAAUGUUUUGUUGUGUCAUCAUUAGAUAUAUUUAUUUGAGUUAAAAUUGUCAAAUUAAGAAACUGGAAAGAAAUGUUCCACAGAUAAAAGCAACAUAUAGGUCUCUGAAUGUAUACAGUGUAUAUUUCUUAUUUUCCCUGGAAUGGGACACAUUAUAACAGAAAGUCAUUGUCUAUUUUCCAGCUGUAUUGGGUGUGAUGUGUGUUGAAUACCCCAUUGUGUAAAUGAUUGUGGUCAUCUGUCAAGAAUUUGUUUCAAUUUGAUUCCAUUUUAAUUCAAAUUGUAUCAAGACUGGACCAAACUUGGAGAAUGUGUAACUUUUCAUUCCUUGAUAGGCUUGUAUGGCGAUAUUUUUUGUUUCGUUUUUUUCAGUGAAAUACCAUUAAGGAAUUAUUCAUAUUGCCUGUGCAUACACACACGUCAGUAAUGUACGUCAAGGAAAUGUUGUCUCGGUUUGCUAAAAUAAUGUUUGAGAUGAUAUACUCCCCAGGGAGUUGAGAUUGAUAACACGAUGUGCAGUUGAGACUGACAUCCAAUGAUCGAGGGAAAAAAUACCAGCGCCUUGAGCAAGCACUAGUUGCCUGGAUAUGUGCGCUAUAUAAAUAUCCUAUAAUAAUAAUAAUAAUAAUAAUAUACAACUCAGUAUUUGAUAGGGAUAAUCAGGUUUGUUGUUCUAUUCGAAUGUACACUUAACAUUCUGAGGGUUAGUUUGUGUCCUUGAGGAAAUAUACUCCUGUCAAAAGUAGGACGAACACACAAGACGAUGCAAAAUACAAAACUGCAUGUCCUUGAAAAAAUGAUCUUGCUGCGCAAUGUGCGACAUGAUUGAAGUCUUAUGACUGGGGAAGUUAGCUCAAACUCGAUAACAUUUCCAGAAGACAUGAUAUGUGUUUUCUAAAUGUCUGAUUGUGGUAGACAUAAGAAUACAAGGAUGUAUAUAUUCAGAGAGAACCAUUUUCAGGUUCAGUUUCCAUGAGACAUACUGAUCAGUUUCUGUGUAUAUGAUGUCAUCAGACAUGAGGACAGUGUGUUGAGGGAUUCAUCAGCAUUGGGAUCCUGUGUCCCUGAUCUGUUUGUAUGUUCGAAACCUUUUCACGAUGACAUUGUGUUUAUAAUAAAGAAAUUCAACCAGA